rnacentral:misc_RNA from 1 species
AACGCACCUUGCGCUCCUUGGUAUUCCGAGGAGCAUGCCUGUUUGAGUGUCAUUAAAUUCUCAACCUCACCAGUUUUCUGAACUGUUCUUCGAGGCUUGGAUGUGGGGGUUUGUGCAGGCUGCCUCACUGGCGGUCUGCUCCCCUGAAAUGCAUUAGCGAGUUCAUACUGAGCUCCGUCUAUUGGUGUGAUAAUUAUCUACGCCGUGGACGAGGUUCAGACUUGCUUCUAACCGUCCGCAAGGACAAUACCUUGACAAUUUGACCUCAAAUCAGGUAGGACUACCCGCUGAACUUAA